rnacentral:rRNA from 1 species
AUGCUUGACCCUACGUUCGACAAGGGCCAUCGUGCCCGUUUUAUUGAGAACGGAGUGAUGCUCCCGCCACUGCAGAUGAGGGGUCACGGGACGACCGCGAAGAUGGAGUACGACGAGCGGUAUGCGUCGUUCUACAGGAGAGCCCGACUGCUGGGUUUCGUCCUGCAGUUCAAGCGCAAGCCGCCGACGCUCGUUCACUCAGCUCUCGCGGCUUUGAUCGAUUGGUGGCAGCCAGAGACGCACAACUUCCAUCUUCCAUGUGGGGAGAUGACGCUUACACUUGAGGAUUGGGGGAUGAUUACGGGCCUACCGCUCGAGGGUCAUGGU